UGGGAGCGUGCCUUUUGGUUCGGAACAACACAGGGAAACUUGUGCUAAUACCGGAUAAGCCCUUACGGGGAAAGAUUUAUCGCCAAAAGAUCGGCCCGCGUCUGAUUAGCUAGUUGGUGGGGUAAUGGCCCACCAAGGCGACGAUCAGUAGCUGGUCUGAGAGGAUGAUCAGCCACACUGGGACUGAGACACGGCCCAGACUCCUACGGGAGGCAG
rnacentral:rRNA from 1 species